CCCUUAGAUGUUCUGGGCCGCACGCGCGCUACACUGAUGCAUUCAACGAGUUUCUUCCUGGUCCGAGAGGAAUGGGUAACCUUUUGAAAGUGCAUCGUGAUAGGGAUAGACUAUUGCAAUUAUUGGUCUUCAACGAGGAAUUCCUAGUAGGCGCAAGUCAUCAGCUUGCGUCGAUUACGUCCCUGCCCUUUGUACACACCGCCCGUCGCUCCUACCGAUUGGGUGUGCUGGUGAAAUGUUCGGAUCGGCCGUUUGUCGCGGUUUCCGCGUCAUGUGGCUGAGAAGUUCAUUAAACCCUCCCACCUAGAGGAAGGAGAAGUCGUAACA
rnacentral:rRNA from 1 species